ensembl:lncRNA
CUAGUGACAGCCCUGCUAGCCAAUGACAACAACUUCUCCCUGAUCUUCCCCAGCCUUGCUUCCCAGUCCUGAGACUUGAAGAGCACAGAGGAAGGCCUCUUGUAGGUCAGUCACUGGCUCUGGACCAUUGACCACUACCACUGCUUUUACUUGGGAUGGUGUUCAAAUUGUGGGAUGUCUGAGAAAGCUGGGUUCCACGUUUUUGCUAUGCAACCUGUUCCUCACGUCCUGGACUUUGCCGGCUCCAGUCCUCAGUUGCCAUUCAGUAAGCAUUGUGACGUGUAAGGCUCUCAGGAGAAGCCAGAUCCCAGUGGCAUUAGUGUGACAAACAAGCUGUGCCCAAGGAGCUGACACUCUGGCAGAGUCCAGGACAUCCAGGAAGACAGAGGUGGUGAGAUAUCACCAACUAUGACUCUGACAUCCAAUGAAGCAGUCGAGGGCCAUGAUGCUUUUCUGACUGAGGCAACACAGCCUGGAGCCCAAAUCCCGAGGCUGUGCACCAAAGUCCUUCCGUUUGUCACUGAUCCUGGUGCUUUCCCACAAGAAGUUGCUCAAUGUGGCUACCAGGGAGGCCAAACAUAAGCCUGUGUCUGCAGACAGGAGGGCACCAACAAUGUGUCAAGCAACCUCAUCUGCAUCGUCACAAGCAUCUGCAGUGUGGAUAUCUGGUCAACAUGGUCGUUUGACAGUUGUGGAGCCCCUCCCACCAAUAAAGGUCAUGCCUAUUCUAGUGUGCUGCACUCAGUGAAGAAGUUGGAGUAAGCGUCAAAAGAGUGAAGGCCAAGCUCUGACUGUGACAGAGAGUUUGAGAUAGACAACUGAUGCUUUGAAAAACACGUGACUUCUCCCUGGGACCUCCAUCUACUGUAAAUAACCAACAACCUGUUCAAGGAUCAAUGUGCCUCUGAGAUGAGGACAACAAGUCUCCCCUUGCAAUCAGAAUGGACCAUCACUAUGGACCUCAUCUAUUAGAUGCAGGUUGUCUAGCAAGCCUCUGGACAGGCAGCAUGGCAGAAAUCAACUCUUUCCAAAAAAAAGGCUGCUGCUGACACAGUGGAUAGAGCACACACAAGCUCCCUGUCUGACUCCUUCAGCUCCUGCAUGUCUCCUUGGCUAACAUUUCAGAGCUUCUGAUUCUUCAGACAUCAGCUUCUUGAUACUGAAGAGAUUGUUCUACCUGAUGAGCCCAGGCCUAGAAGAUGGACUGCAUCCAAGAAGCCUGGUCCAUCUAAGGCCAAGUCACAUCUUUAAGAAAUAUUUGAAAGCAUUUGUGCACAGGAUAAAGGUGCAAGGACCAAAGUCUCCUUAGACUUUCCAGCAUACAGAGGGUCUGACAGACUCAGGUCAAAGGUUACGUCUGAAGCCUAGAUCAUGAAGAAGGCCCCACUCCACAGUAGAAGCCUGUGGCUGAUGCUGUUGCAACCAGGAC